CUGGGAGCCCCGCCAGGUUGGAUAGCAGCAGGAACCUUUUCCAACACCAAUAAAUGUUGAUCUCAGGAGGUUUGAAGAUAACAAGCAUGAUGAGAACAAAACAAGCACCCUGUGAUGUGGGAGGGGAGGAGAUCUUCAAAUGGAUGAAGGAGGAAAUCAAACCAGAGAACAAAGUGAUAAACAGAAGCCAGGAACUCGGGGGCCUGAUUUCUGGACCUGGGCUCUUUCAGUUCUGCCUUCUACAGCUCCAGCCUCGCUGAAACUAUGCCCUCACCAAGAAGCUAUUGUUUGCUGACUUAUUUAGUCAUUCAUUUCAUGAACAUAUCUGUUGUUUAGUUG
ensembl:lncRNA